GGCUGUAGCUCAGUGGCAGAGUGCUUGCCUCACACGUGUGAGGCACUGAGUUCGAUCCUCGGCACCA
rnacentral:tRNA from 1 species